rnacentral:lncRNA from 1 species
UGAAGGCACAAUGUUCUUCAGGGUAUUGAGCAAAGGAACACACAACCUGAGAAGGAUGCUCCACAGCUUGGGCAUUGUAGUACACUCGCGUGUUUACCCAAGAGGAAGGAUCCUUUCUCAGCCUUGUGCUUCUCCUCAAAACUGGUUGUUCUUGCUCUUGAACCGGCUCAGCUUGUAUAUGCGGUUCUUGUGCUUCACUUUCAUGUUCUUCAUCUCCUUGGUCUUGCUCACCUUGAUG